GGGCCACCAAAACCGGAAAAUAUUGCAAAACCACGAACUUUUAAUCCGUUGGUCACUGGUUCGAAUCCAGUACGGCCUACCA
rnacentral:tRNA from 1 species